GGGUGCUCGGGGCAGGCGGCUGGGAGCGGCCCUCACAUUGAUGGCUCCUGCCACCUCCUCCGCAG
ensembl:miRNA MIR6727 microRNA 6727